AACGAACGCUGGCGGCAUGCCUAAUACAUGCAAGUCGAACGAUCACUUCGGUGAUAGUGGCGCACGGGUGCGUAACGCGUGGAAUCUGCCCUUGGGUUCGGAAUAACAGCUGGAAACGGCUGCUAAUACCGGAUGAUGACGUAAGUCCAAAGAUUUAUCGCCCAGGGAUGAGCCCGCGUAGGAUUAGGUAGUUGGUGGGGUAAAGGCCUACCAAGCCUACGAUCCUUAGCUGGUCUGAGAGGAUGAUCAGCCACACUGGGACUGAGACACGGCCCAGACUCCUACGGGAGGCAGCAGUAGGGAAUAUUGGACAAUGGGGGCAACCCUGAUCCAGCAAUGCCGCGUGAGUGAUGAAGGCCUUAGGGUUGUAAAGCUCUUCUACCCGGGAUGAUAGUGACAGUACCGGGAGAAUAAGCCCCGGCUAACUCCGUGCCAGCAGCCGCGGUAA
rnacentral:rRNA from 1 species